rnacentral:rRNA from 1 species
ACUGCGAAUGGCUCAUUAAAUCAGUUAUCGUUUAUUUGAUAGUACCUUACUACAUGGAUACCUGUGGUAAUUCUAGAGCUAAUACAUGCUAAAAACCCCGACUUCAGGAAGGGGUGUAUUUAUUAGAUAAAAAACCAACGCCCUUCGGGGCUCCUUGGUGAAUCAUAAUAACUUAACGAAUCGCAUGGCCUUGCGCCGGCGAUGGUUCAUUCAAAUUUCUGCCCUAUCAACUUUCGAUGGUAGGAUAGUGGCCUACCAUGGUGGCAACGGGUAACGGGGAAUUAGGGUUCGAUUCCGGAGAGGGAGCCUGAGAAACGGCUACCACAUCCAAGGAAGGCAGCAGGCGCGCAAAUUACCCAAUCCCGAUACGGGGAGGUAGUGACAAUAAAUACUGAUACGGGGCUCUUUUGGGUCUCGUAAUUGGAAUGAGAACAAUUUAAAUCCCUUAACGAGGAACAAUUGGAGGGCAAGUCUGGUGCCAGCAGCCGCGGUAAUUCCAGCUCCAAUAGCGUAUAUUAAAGUUGUUGCAGUUAAAAAGCUCGUAGUUGAACCUUGGGCCUGGCUGGCCGGUCCGCCUCACCGCGAGUACUGGUCCGGCUGGGCCUUUCCUUCUGGGGAACCUCAUGGCCUUCACUGGCUGUGGGGGGAACCAGGACUUUUACUGUGAAAAAAUUAGAGUGUUCAAAGCAGGCCUUUGCUCGAAUACAUUAGCAUGGAAUAAUAGAAUAGGACGUGUGGUUCUAUUUUGUUGGUUUCUAGGACCGCCGUAAUGAUUAAUAGGGAUAGUCGGGGGCGUCAGUAUUCAGCUGUCAGAGGUGAAAUUCUUGGAUUUGCUGAAGACUAACUACUGCGAAAGCAUUCGCCAAGGAUGUUUUCAUUAAUCAGGGAACGAAAGUUAGGGGAUCGAAGACGAUCAGAUACCGUCGUAGUCUUAACCAUAAACUAUGCCGACUAGGGAUCGGACGGGAUUCUAUAAUGACCCGUUCGGCACCU